rnacentral:rRNA from 1 species
GAUGAACGCUGGCGGCGUGCUUAACACAUGCAAGUCGAACGGAAACAGGAUGAAGCCUAGCGAUUCCUGUUUUAGUGGCGGACGGGUGAGUGACGCGUGGGUAACCUGCCUUACACUGGGGGAUAACAGUUAGAAAUAGCUGCUAAUACCGCAUAAGCGCACAGGGCCGCAUGGCCUGGUGUGAAAAACUCCGGUGGUGUAAGAUGGACCCGCGUCUGAUUAGCUAGUUGGUGAGGUAACGGCCCACCAAGGCGACGAUCAGUAGCCGGCCUGAGAGGGUGAACGGCCACAUUGGGACUGAGACACGGCCCAAACUCCUACGGGAGGCAGCAGUGGGGAAUAUUGCACAAUGGGGGAAACCCUGAUGCAGCGACGCCGCGUGAGUGAAGAAGUAUUUCGGUAUGUAAAGCUCUAUCAGCAAGGAAGAAAAUGACGGUACUUGACUAAGAAGCCCCGGCUAACUACGUGCCAGCCGCCGCAGUAA